CGACAAGGAACACUAGUGUACUAAAUUCCCCUUCGUUUUCUUUUUACUGACUUCGUUCUUUUUCCUGUUUUAGGGUACCAUCCCCUUUGUCUGCCGAAUUGUGGCCUCCUUUGCCCUUUAAGGAUAAGGGAACUUACUCUCCUCUGCCCAACAGUGGGUUUUGCUCCUCCCCUUAUUCGUGUGGUUGUAAAUAGUCCUUUUGGAUUUUUGCAUGUCUAAAGCUUCCUUGGUGUGAAUACUAGUUGUGGCCUGAGUGGCCUUGAUUUUUGGUUAUGUGCGUUUUCUGGAUGGUUAUGGGGAAUAUGGGAGCACACUGUGCCGGAUUAGAGUUGUGGGAGUUUAGGCUAAUGUUCGAGGGUUGGAUUUAAAGGUAAGAUGCAAGUGGGUCACCUACAAUCAAGGACAUCGUUGCCUAAUGUUCUUCACUAGAAUGGUUUACCAAUUCUCGUUGUAACAAUUCUUUGGUAUGUUUCUAGGGCUUAAUGGCAAAGUGUGCCUCUGUUUAUCUUUGGAUCUCUAACUUCUCUUCCUUUCCUUUGGGUUGUUGUUGGCUGGGAUUUUUUUUUAGGCAAUCUUGUUGUCAAUGUUCCCCAUGGUGCUUCAAUGCAAUGCAAUCUUCCCCCUAGUCCUGGUUUGGUCGGUGGUGUUAAGGUCUGGGACGUCUCGCCCCUUGCUCUCUCACAAGCGAUGGAAGGAGCUUGUUGCUACCGGAUUGGUUACAGGUUGGACUCAACUAUGUUAGGGUUUCUUGGUUAUGGAUUUGGCCUUUUGUUGUAAUGGGUUAGGUCCUUUUACCUUUUUUUUUUUUUUUGCAUG
rnacentral:misc_RNA from 1 species